UGGGGAAUAUUGGACAAUGGGCGCAAGCCUGAUCCAGCCAUGCCGCGUGAGUGAUGAAGGCCCUAGGGUUGUAAAGCUCUUUCACCGGUGAAGAUAAUGACGGUAACCGGAGAAGAAGCCCCGGCUAACUUCGUGCCAGCAGCCGCGGUAAUACGCAGGGGGCUAGCGUUGUUCGGAUUUACUGGGCGUAAAGCGCACGUAGGCGGACUUUUAAGUCAGGGGUGAAAUCCCGGGGCUCAACCCCGGAACUGCCUUUGAUACUGGAAGUCUUGAGUAUGGUAGAGGUGAGUGGAAUUCCGAGUAUAAGGGUGAAAUUCGUAGAUAUUCGGAGAAACACCAGUGGCGAAGGCGGCUCACUGGACCAUUACUGACGCUGAGGUGCGAAAGCGUGGGGAGCAAACAGG
rnacentral:rRNA from 1 species